rnacentral:rRNA from 1 species
UACGUAGGGUGCGAGCGUUAAUCGGAAUUACUGGGCGUAAAGCGUGCGCAGGCGGUUUUGUAAGCCAGAUGUGAAAGCCCCGGGCUCAACCUGGGAAUGGCAUUUGGGACUGCAAGGCUGGAGUUUGGCAGAGGAGACUGGAAUUCCUGGUGUAGCAGUGAAAUGCGUAGAUAUCAGGAGGAAUACCGAUGGCGAAGGCAGGUCUCUGGGCUAUAACUGACGCUCAUGCACGAAAGCGUGGGGAGCGAACAGG